rnacentral:lncRNA from 1 species
UUUGACCAUUUUCUCGCUUAAUUCCAUAACAAGCUCAGUCUCUCUCUUCCUCAUCAUAUUAUUCUAAUAUUCUUGGCAUAGAAAAAAAAGGCUGAGAAGUGAAAAACCAUGUUCAUAUCAAGGGCUACUCAAUUAGUAGGAUAUCUCUUACUGAUCCUCCUUAAUAUUUCAGCACUACAUUCAGCUGUUCUUGAAGCUAGACAUCUUCUAGAAGCUUCAGAAAAGCCUUGGCCAUGGAAGGAAAGUAAAAGUCCCAAUACUAUUAUGAAUGAGAAAGGUUUUUUGGCUACCGUCAACAGAGAAGUGCCUUCAUGUCCUGAUCCUCUUCACAACAGGUAAAUCAAAAAGCUAAAAAAAGAGAAGUUGUAUAUAAAUUUCAUGCUAUAUAAUCAUAAGUUUUUUGUUUUUGUUGGGAUUUUUCUUAUAUAAUUUUUCUCUUGGUGAGCAAUA